rnacentral:rRNA from 1 species
UACAGAGGUCUCAAGCGUUGUUCGGAUUCAUUGGGCGUAAAGGGUGUGUAGGUGGCGCCGUAAGUCGGGGUGUGAAAUUUCGGAGCUUAACUCCGAAACUGCAUUCGAUACUGCGGUGCUUGAGGACUGGGAGAGGAGACUGGAAUUCAUGGUGUAGCAGUGAAAUGCGUAGAGAUCAUGAGGAAGACCAGUGGCGAAGGCGGGUCUCUGGACAGUUCCUGACACUGAGACACGAAGGCCAGGGGAGCAAACGGG